GUGUUGUAUGAAAGGAGAGAAGGUUAGCACUCCCCUUGACAAGGAUGGAAGAGGCCCUCAGGCCUGACAGUUAAGGCAUGGCCACCUACUUCGUGGCAUCUAACUAUUGUUUUUU
ensembl:snRNA